rnacentral:rRNA from 1 species
GACGAACGCUGGCGGCGUGCUUAACACAUGCAAGUCGAACGGUAAGGCCCUUCGGGGUACACGAGUGGCGAACGGGUGAGUAACACGUGGGUGAUCUGCCCCGCACUUCGGGAUAAGCCUGGGAAACUGGGUCUAAUACCGGAUAGGACCACUGCCUGCAUGGGGGGUGGUGGAAAGCCUUUGCGGUGUGGGAUGGGCCCGCGGCCUAUCAGCUUGUUGGUGGGGUGAUGGCCUACCAAGGCGACGACGGGUAGCCGGCCUGAGAGGGUGACCGGCCACACUGGGACUGAGAUACGGCCCAGACUCCUACGGGAGGCAGCAGUGGGGAAUAUUGCACAAUGGGCGCAAGCCUGAUGCAGCGACGCCGCGUGAGGGAUGACGGCCUUCGGGUUGUAAACCUCUUUCAGCACCGACGAAGCGCAAGUGACGGUAGGUGCAGAAGAAGGACCGGCCAACUACGUGCCAGCCGCCGCAGUAAUAC